rnacentral:rRNA from 1 species
ACGGAAGGCAGCAGUGGGGAAUAUUGCACAAUGGGGGAAACCCUGAUGCAGCGACGCCGCGUGAGCGAAGACGUCUUUCGGUAUGUAAAGCUCUAUCAGCAGGGAAGAAAAUGACGGUACCUGACUAAGAAGCCCCGGAUAACUACGUGCCAGCAGCCGCGGUAAUACGCAGGGGGCAAGCGUUAUCCGGAUUUACUGGGUGUAAAGGGAGCGUAGGCGGCAAGGUAAGUCUGAAGUGAAAUGCCGGGGCUCAACCCCGGAACUGCGUUGGAAACUGUCUCGCUCGAGUACCGGAGGGGUAGGCGGAAUUCCUAGUGUAGCGGUGAAAUGCGUAGAUAUUAGGAGGAACACCAGUGGCGAAGGCGGCUGACUGGACGGUAACUGACAUUGAGGCUCGAAAGCGUGGGGAGCAAACAGGAUUAGAUACCCUGGUA